rnacentral:rRNA from 1 species
UACGUAGGGUGCGAGCGUUGCCCGGAUUUAUUGGGCGUAAAGGGCGCGUAGGCGGCCACGCACGUCCGUUGUGAAAUCGCUCGGCUCAACUGGGCGGGGUCAGCGGGAUACGGUGUGGCUAGAGCAAGCUAGGGGGCAAUGGAAUUCCCGGUGUAGUGGUGGAAUGCGUAGAUAUCGGGGAGGAACACCAGUGGCGAAGGCGGUUGCCCUGGAGCUUUGCUGACGCUGAUGCGCGAAAGCGUGGGGAGCGAUCCGG